rnacentral:rRNA from 1 species
GUGUACCCGCGGCAAGACGGAAAGACCCCGUGAACCUUUACUAUAGCUUGACACUGAACAUUGAGCCUUGAUGUGUAGGAUAGGUGGGAGGCUUUGAAGUGUGGACGCCAGUCUGCAUGGAGCCGGCCUUGAAAUACCACCCUUUAAUGUUUGAUGUUCUAACGUGGACCCGUAAUCCGGGUUGCGGACAGUGUCUGGUGGGUAGUUUGACUGGGGCGGUCUCCUCCUAAAGAGUAACGGAGGAGCACGAAGGUUGGCUAAUCCUGGUCGGACAUCAGGAGGUUAGUGCAAUGGCAUAAGCCAGCUUGACUGCGAGCGUGACGGCGCGAGCAGGUGCGAAAGCAGGUCAUAGUGAUCCGGUGGUUCUGAAUGGAAGGGCCAUCGCUCAACGGAUAAAAGGUACUCCGGGGAUAACAGGCUGAUACCGCCCAAGAGUUCAUAUCGACGGCGGUGUUUGGCACCUCGAUGUCGGCUCAUCACAUCCUGGGGCUGAAGUAGGUCCCAAGGGUAUGGCUGUUCGCCAUUUAAAGUGGUACGCGAGCUGGGUUUAGAACGUCGUGAGACAGUUCGGUCCCUAUCUGCCGUGGGCGCUGGAGAACUGAGGGGGGCUGCUCCUAGUACGAGAGGACCGGAGUGGACGCAUCACUGGUGUUCGGGUUGUCAUGCCAAUGGCACUGCCCGGUAGCUAAAUGCGGAAGAGAUAAGUGCUGAAAGCAUCUAAGCACGAAACUUGCCCCGAGAUGAGUUCUCCCUGAGACUUAGAGUCUCCUGAAGGAACGUUGAAGACGACGACGUUGAUAGGCCGGGUGUGUAAGCGCAGCGAUGCGUUGAGCUAACCGGUACUAAUGAACCGUGAGGCUUAACCUUACAACGCCGAAG